CCUACGGGUGGCAGCAGUGAGGAAUAUUGGUCAAUGGUCGGGAGACUGAACCAGCCAAGCCGCGUGAGGGAUGAAGGUACAGAGUAUCGUAAACCUCUUUUGUCAGGGAACAAAGGCGGGGACGCGUCCCGGAUGAGUGUACCUGAAGAAAAAGCAUCGGCUAACUCCGUGCCAGCAGCCGCGGUAAUACGGAGGAUGCGAGCGUUUUCCGGAUUUUAUGGGUUUAAAGGGUGCGCAGGGGGUCUGUUAAGUCAGCGGUAAAAGCCCGGGGUCAAACCCCGGCCCGCCGUUGAGACUGGCAGUCUCGAGUUGGAGAGAGGUAGGCGGAAUGCGCGGUGUAGCGGUGAAAUGCAUAGAUAUCGCGAAGAACUCCGAUUGCGAAGGCAGCGUACCGGCGCCAGACUGACGCUGAGGCACGAAAGCGUGGGGAUCGAACAGGAUUAGAUACCCUUGUAGUC
rnacentral:rRNA from 1 species